UUCCGGGAUGUGGUCGGACCUUUGGCUCUCGCCGCAGCCGGAGGUCAAGGUGUGGUGCUUGCUGCUGUGUGUCCUCUCCUCCUAGAGGCCCAGCUCCUGUGGUCCUGUGACCUGCAGGUAUUGGGAGAUCCACAGCUAAGUCGCCAGGACCCCCUGGAAGCCUAGAAAUGGGAUCAUUGAGAUUUCGGGAUGUGGCCAUAGAAUUCUCUGUGGAGGAGUGGCAAUGCCUGGACACUGCACAGCGGAAUUUAUAUAGGAAUGUGAUGUUAGAGAACUACAGAAACCUGGUCUUCCUGGGUAUUGCUGUCCCUAAGCCAGACCUGAUCAUUUUUCUGGAGCAAGGAAAAGAGCCCUGGAAUAUGAAGAGACAUGAGAUGGCGGAAGAAACCCCAGGUAGAACUGGCGAUGAACUGUGGCUUAGGAAGCUGGAACUGAGUCAUGGAACUGUUAUUGGGACCAAGGUCUGCAGGCCUGCCAGCUUGGCUCUAAAUGGGUAUCUCUCCAGGCUUCUGGAAGACCAAGACCUCUCACAGACUGUGGCUGGGAGAAGUUUGGGAUGCUUACAGAUUAUAUGUUCUCAUUUUGCUCAACACCUUUGUCCAGAGCAGGGCAUAGAAGAUUCUCUCCGAAAAGUGAUAUUGAGAAGAUGUGAAAAAUGUGGACCUGAGAAUUUACAGUUAAAAAUUGGUUGUACCAAUGUGGAUGAGUGUAAGGUGCACAAAAAAGGUUAUAAUAAGCUUAACCAGAGUUUGACAACUACACAGAGCAAAGUAUUUCAAUGUGGCAAAUAUGUAAACGUCUUUCAUAAAUGUUCAAAUUCAAAAAGACAUAAGAUAAGGCAUACUAGAAAGAAGCUUUUGAAAUGUAAGGAAUAUGUCAGAUCAUUUUGCAUGCGUUCACACCUAUGUCAACAUAAAAGAAUUUAUACCAGAGAAAAUUCCUACAAAUGUGAAGAAGAUGGCAAAGCCUUUAACUGGUCCUCAACCCUUACUUAUUAUAAGAGAAUUCAUACUGGAGAGAAACCUUACAAAUGUGAAGAAUGUGGCAAAGCCUUUAGUAAGGCCUCAACCCUUACCAGGCAUAAGGUAAUUCAUGCUGGAGAGAAACCCUACAACUGUGAAGAAUGUGGCAAAGCUUUCAACCGGUUCUCAAGUCUUACGGAACAUAAGAGAAUUCAUACUGGAGAGAAACCCUACAAAUGUGAAGAAUGUGGCAAAGCUUUCAACUGGUCCUCAAGUCUUACGGUACAUAAGAGAAUUCAUACUGGAGAGAAACCCUACAAAUGUGAAGAAUGUGGCAAAGCCUAUGGUAACUUCUCAACCCUUACUAAACAUAAGGUAAUUCAUACUAGAGAGAAACCCUACAAAUGUGAAGAAUGUGGAAAAGCCUUCAGCUGGCCCUCAAGCCUUACUGAACAUAAGAGAAGUCAUGCUGGAGAGAAACCCUACAAAUGUGAAGAAUGUGGCAAAGCUUUCAACCGGUCCUCAAGACUUAGUGAACAUAAGAGAAUUCAUACUGGAGAGAAACCCUACAAAUGUGAAGAAUGUGGCAAAGCUUUCAACCGGUCCUCAAACCUUACGGAACAUAAGAGAAUUCAUACUAGAGAGAAACCCUACAAAUGUGAAGAAUGUGGCAAAGCCUAUGGUAACUUCUCAACCCUUACUAAACAUAAGGUAAUUCAUACUGGAGAGAAACCCUACAAAUGUGAAGAAUGUGGCAAAGCCUUCAUCUGGUCCUGAAGACUUAGUGAACAUAAGAGAAUUCAUACUGGAGAGAAACCCUACAAAUGUGAAGAAUGUGGCACAGCCUAUGUUAACUUCUCAGCCCUUACUAAACAUAAGAUAAUUCAUACUGGAGAGAAACCCUACAAAUGGGAAGAAUGUGGCAAAGCCUUUAGUAAGGCCUCAACCCUUACUGCACACAAGACAAUUCAUACUGGAGAGAAACCCUAUAAAUGUGAAGAAUGUGGCAAAGCUUUCUACCAGUCCUCAAACCUUACAGAACAUAAGAGAAUUCAUACUGGAGAGAAACCCACAAAUGUGAAGAAUGUGGCAAAGCCUAUGGUAACUUCUCAACCCUUACUAAACAUAAGGUAAUUCAUACUGGAGAGAAACCCUACAAAUGUGAAGAAUGUGGAAAAGCCUUCAGCUGGCCCUCAAGCCUUAGUGAACACAAGAGAAUUCAUGCUGGAGAGAAACCCUACAAAUGUGAAGAAUGUGGCAAAGCCUUUAGCUGGGUCUCAGUCUUCAAUAAACAUAACAAAAUUCAUACUGGAAAGAAAUUCUAUAAAUGUGAAGAAUGUGGCAAAGAGUUCAACCAAUCCUCACACCUUACUACUCAUAAGAGAAUUCAUACGGGAGGAAAAACCCUACAAAUGUGAAAAAUGUGGCAAAGCUUUCAAUUAGUUCUCAACCCUUACUGAACAUAAGGGAAUUUAUACAGAAGGGAAACCCUACAAAUGUGAAGAACGUGGCAGAUUUUUUAACUCUUCCUCAAUCCUUACUAAACAUAAGGUAAUUCAUACUGGAGGGAAUUCCUACAAUUGUGUGGAAUGUGGCAAAGCCUUUAACCAGUCCUUAAGGCUUACCACAUAUAAGACAACUCAUACUGGACAGAAACCAUACACAUGUGAAGAAUGUGGGAAAGCCUCUAACAGAUCCUCAAUUCUUAACAGACACAGGCUAAUUCAUACUAGAGAGAAACUACAAACCUGAAAGAUGUGACAGUGCUUCUGGCAACACCUGAAACUUUUCUAAGUAUAAAAGAAAUCAUACUGGUGAGAAAUCCUAGA